CUUUCAGCCGGCAUGUGGCAACAACGGCGCCUGCGCUCAUUUUGAACCGGAGGAGGAUUCUUUUAUUAAGAUUGGACAGGCAAUGGGGAGACACCCUGUGUUAUCUUACUACUUACCUGUCAUAGCCAAUGAGGAAGUAUUCCCUGUUAGUGGCCCUGAUCGACAUCACUUCGUCAUGAUGGCAGUUAAACAUCUUCUGAUGAAAAGCCGCUUUUUCCAAGAGGUCUGAAAAAUGAAAACAUUUUGCAUCUCAGUUAAAUCUCAAAGGAAGAGAAAGGAUUUUAAAAAUGCUCAUGAGGCUGGUGGGAGGCCUGUUAAAUCUUUGUGAAUACUUACUGCAGAGAAGAAAAGCUGAGGAGGUGGUGAUUUAAUAAAGUAAUCUUGU